rnacentral:rRNA from 1 species
CCAAUAGCGUAUAUUAAAGUUGUUGCAGUUAAAAAGCUCGUAGUUGAAUUUCGGGAUCAUCAGGUUGGUCGUGCCUCUGGUAUGUACUUUCCUCGAUGGUUCCUCCUUCUUGAAGAUCUGUAAUGCCAUUAAUUUGGUGUUGCGGGGAAUCAGGACUGUUACUUUGAAAAAAUUAGAGUGUUUAAAGCAGGCAAUCGCUUGAAUACAUUAGCAUGGAAUAAUGAAAUAGGACGUUCGAUCCUAUUUUGUUGGUUUCUAGGAUUGACGUAAUGAUUAAUAGUGAUAGUUGGGGGCAUUAGUAUUCAAUUGUCAGAGGUGAAAUUCUUGGAUUUAUUGAAGACUAACUACUGCGAAAGCAUUUGCCAAGGAUGUUUUCAUUAAUCAAGAACGAAGGUUAGGGGAUCGAAGACGAUCAGAUACCGUCGUAGUCUUAACCAUAAACUAUGCCGACUAGGGAUCGGAUGAUGUUAAUUUUUUAAUGACUCAUUCGGCGCCUUACG